rnacentral:rRNA from 1 species
CCUAGGGGGCAGCAGUGAGGAAUAUUGGUCAAUGGGCGUAAGCCUGAACCAGCCAAGUCGCGUGAGGGAUGAAGGUUCUAUGGAUCGUAAACCUCUUUUAUAUGGGAAUAAAGUGCGGGACGUGUCCCGUUUUGUAUGUACCUUAUGAAUAAGGAUCGGCUAACUCCGUGCCAGCAGCCGCGGUAAUACGGGGGAUCCGAGCGUUAUCCGGAUUUAUUGGGUUUAAAGGGUGCGUAGACGGAAUGCCAGGUCAGCGGUAAAAUCGCGGGGCUCAACCUCGAUCUGCCGUUGAAACUGGCGUUCUUGAGUAGGGGAGAAGUAGGCGGAAUGCGUGGUGUAGCGGUGAAAUGCAUAGAUAUCACGCAGAACUCCGAUUGCGAAGGCAGCAUACCAGAGCCCAACUGACGCUGAAGCACGAAAGCGUGGGUAUCGAACAGGAUUAGAUACCCGGGUAGUC